CGGAGACGUCGCGUCGUUUCUAAGAAACAGAACGACUCUCGGCAACGGAUAUCUCGGCUCUCGCAUCGAUGAAGAACGUAGCGAAAUGCGAUACUUGGUGUGAAUUGCAGAAUCCCGUGAACCAUCGAGUCUUUGAACGCAAGUUGCGC
rnacentral:rRNA from 1 species